rnacentral:lncRNA from 1 species
AUGACCCUUGUCCUUGACAACAAUGUCUCUGCCUGUGUCACUGAGGAUUGCACCAUUGCUCCUCCAAGCCCCAUUAUAAGCAGGCCUACCCUCACAUAUGAGCCGUCUGAACUGGGGACUUAUGCAUCCUACAACAAGGCUGAUAGUUCAUACUCCUCAUCUGAAACAGUUACUGCCAAUCCUUUGUGGACAAACUCUACAGAAAGCAGUCAUACCACUAUCCUUGAGUAUGAACCGUCUGGCUCUGAGAUUCAUACCACCAUGUUGAAAUCUGUGGCUCCUAAGACAAUAGCUUAUUCCAGCUCUGAUGGCACUAAGAAAAUGUCUUCAAGAUUUCUAAAAAUAACCACUAUGGAGCAAAAGGAUAAAGUUGUAGAUGAUGCCACCACCUUUCUGCCAGAGACAUCUAACCCAAAAGAGAAAAGAACCCAUUCUUCAAUUAUUCUAGACCCAGACACUGAGUUCCCUAUGGAAGAGAGCAGGACCUCAACAAUGGACAACUUCGGCUCUGCUGGAGAACCUGCCCCCAUCAAAAAUAAAGAAGUUUCUGACAUGAAGAAUAUCGCAGCUGAUGCUUUUACUCCAGGAAGAAAAACCAGUGUCACAGCAGCUGAAGAACAAUACUCAAAACAUAACUUCGAAACCAUUGGGAGUGACAUAUCCACUUCAGAGGAUAGCACUAGACCCUCAGGGCUGCUCAUGCCCCCUGAAGCCGACAGAAUUUCCCAUAUAGAUGAAAACAUGGAAAUGGUAACUGACACGGGUGCCACAGCAAACAUGCCUGCUACAGAGAAAGUUACUUCUGUUGGUGCCCUUGCUGGUCGAGAUGGUGAUUCUCCCAUUCCUAAAGCAGAUGUCACCAAAUCCCUAGCCAACAACCCUUUACUAACUCAUGAAAACCCCAGCCUUACUCCUGACGCCACAACUGAUAGUGCUGCAGCUUCUCUAUGGGGGAAAAAUGAGGCUUUGCUAGAUGACUUCUUUACAGUGUCCAAGGAAACAGAGACAGUGGUUGUACAAAUGGAAACUUCUACAGAGGAUGACACCAGCGUACCUGAAAUAACUCUCCUUAAUGAAAACGCCAAUCCAAUAGUAUCAGAAGACAAUGUAAUUCGGGUAGAAGGAAGCCUUCCAUAUGAUACUGAUUUAAUUGGAGGGGACAACUCUAAUUCUGAGGAUAAUUAUAUUAUCCUUGAAUCAAAUGUAUCUGACCUUAAUGUAGUUGCAAAUUCAUGCUUGACCAACACAAAUGGACUUGAAACCAUAGCUUGCAGUGAUUCCGCUACCGUCAAGGAGAAAAACAGUGAGGAUGCAUUUCCUGCUGAGAAUUUUCUAGCUGACAAAGGCAAAGUUCCUAUGGAGACCAUAACCAUGACUGAUGUCAUCAGUGAUGGAAUUAAAACAACUCAAGAAAUCACAGCUGUUGAAGAGGGUAACAGGGCUGCCAUUAAUGUGAUUUCCUUUGAGCCUGACAUGCCUCACUCAGAGACAAUAGCAAACACCCACAAGGGUAAUUACAUUGCUUCUGAUUGGGAUCCCAACUUCACCACAACAGAUAUGAGCAGCCUUGUGAUUGGGAGCACUAGUCUUGCUGAGAAUAUCACCCCUCUUGAAAACCAGGAGACAUCCAUCACCAAAGAUACCAGAUUCUCUACUUAUAAUACCGUUGACCCGAGAGCAGAGCCUGUGAUCACUGCAACUGAUGCCACAUCAGAAGAAAAGGAGGAAAAUGGGGUGGCAGAAAUGACCAAUUUAAAGAAUUAUGUUACUCCCAUGUCCUCCUUCAUUUCUCAUAAGAUUGAAGACAUUGAACCAGUAACUAAUCCAGGUCUAGCAGAUGCUAUCACACCUGAAGAAGAAACCCCCACACCCAUGUUUUCAGCCUCUACCCUUCACACUGGACAUAUUAAACCUGAAGAUGACCCCAUUGUUUCUCGGGCAAAUUCUGUUCCUAUGUCCAUAGAUGAUACCACUUUACUAAAAGAUGCCACUGUUGAUAAUACCCAAGAAACUCUUCCUUCAAAGGAAAUGUCAUUGGAUGAUGCUGAUACGACCAUGUCAGAGGCCUCAGGGCCCGUUUCUGAAAAGCCUUCACUUGUUAAUAGGGCUCCUAUCCCAGAACAGAAUGGUAUCAAUGUUCAAAGUGACCCUCAGGUCCUCCAGCUGGAAUCUCCACUUCCUCCAGCUGAUUCUACCCUCUUGCCAAAGAAUCCUGCCUACAUUGGCCCCCAUACAGUUGGCACAAUAAAAGAAGACCCAGUCACGGAGACAGCCACCUCUGGUGAAAAGUACCCAUCUCCUAAGAGAACUAUCUCUGCAGCUGCUGCCUUUAAUCUGAGGGAAGAUACUGACUUUAUCAAUGAAGCUGCUAUAUAUGAAGCUGAUAUUUCUGUAGAGAUUACAUCUGAUGAGCAUGAAGUAGCAUUUCACAGAGAGGAAGAGGAUGCUAUAGCAGAAGGAGAUGAUGUUACUCAAGAAGAAGAAAAUAUUCUGUACACCACUGACUUUUCACCCUAUCUAUCAAGUAGCAAUAUCCUGAAAGACAAUGAAUUAGACCCUCAGGAUUAUUCCACUUUUCCCAACAGAGAAGAUGUCAAUUCUAUGUCUGAAGAGAAUAAAAUCACAGCUGACCUAUCCAAAUUUGUUGAUCAGCCGGCCAGUCCACAGAAUAGCGUACCUAUUGUGACUUCCUUUUCUGUUCAUGGAGCAGACAGAAUUUCCUUUGGAAAGCAAGACUCUGAAACAAUGUCGUACUCGGUUUUAACAGGUGACAUGUUCUUCAUGGCUCAGGCCAAUCCAACAAUGGCCAAAGAACCAACUCCUACUUCUUUAUCCAACAGAUCUGGAGAUGACUUUCUCAUCUCUGGAAAAAGGACUGCUAAAUCCAAUGAAGAUACUACUCUGUCUGUGAACACAAUCAAUAUUCUUCAAGAUGAACUCACCAGCGACAAAGUUCAGAACACUCUCCCGGAAAAAGACGGCUCUUUGGCUGAUCCAAAAAUGGCAAAAUCCUAUCUUUUAAAUCUAGCAACUGAUUGUUCUGCUCCCAUGAACAACCUUGGAAUCCUGGAAGGGUCAGUUACUAAAACUGCAACUCACCUUCGUGCUUUCCCAUUGGACACUUCCAAAGAGAACACUGUGGCCAUUGUUGACUCCACAUAUACUGAAUGUGAUCCAUGUACAACUAGGGAGACCACCUCGGAGAUGUUAUUUGGUGCCAUUACUACUCCACCUGGAAGCUCUUCCCCUGAAGAAAAGCUCCCUGUGCCUAAUGCUGCUGCCCUGAUUGCUGAAGAUCCACCCCCUAACUAUUCCCCAACUCCCACAACAGACACCACUAGAAACCUAACGGAAGCAACUGUUUUCUCCAUGGGUGAUGACAAUAUCACUUCAGAAGGAGGCCAUCUUACAUCAGGGAUGUAA